UACGUAGGGGGCUAGCGUUGUCCGGAUUUAUUGGGCGUAAAGAGCGUGUAGGCGGCCAGGUAGGUCUGCUGUGAAAACUGGAGGCUUAACCUUCAGACGUCGACGGAAACCGCGCGGCUAGAGUUCGGUAGGGGAGACUGGAAUUCCUGGUGUAGCGGUGAAAUGCGCAGAUAUCAGGAGGAACACCGGUGGCGAAGGCGGGUCUCUGGGCCGAUACUGACGCUGAGGAGCGAAAGCGUGGGGAGCGAACAGG
rnacentral:rRNA from 1 species